rnacentral:lncRNA from 1 species
UUUGACUGGGUAGGACUCUUCCCUGCCAGCUUGUCCCUGGGGGAUGUGGGUCUGGAGAGGGCAGUGGGAUACCCUCGGAGAAUGAGGUGGGGAAGGACUUCCAGGAGGAGAAAGGGACCUAGGUCGUCCUGACUCCAACUGCCCCUUUCUACCCUGGGGGUCUGGGCCCCUGGGGCGGCAGGGGGGUUGGGUGUGAGUUGUGUGGCUCAUCCCUCUCCCUCCCACCUCCUGCCCUGGGGUAGAGUCACCAAGAGAAGGGUGGCAAGAGGCUGGGAGACUCAGGAAGAGAUGGAGACUCAGCGCGGGGGCGGGGGGAGGCGGAGGUAGAUCUGAACCCCAAGAGACAAGAGAAGGACCUGCAAGCAACUAGAGGGACAGGGGAGACGCACAGACCGACCUGUCCGCUAGGCGGGCCUGGCGGGCGGACUCAAACACCGCGACUAGGCGGGGCGGAGCAGGGGGCGGGUCCCUGCCCCUUCCCGGCCCGCCCCUCUCCGGGGCGUCACGUGGGGCGGGCGGAAGCGCCCGGCGGGGUGGGCGCGCCCCGCCUGCGGCCGCGAGUUGGCUACGGCCGCGCGAGUCAGUGGCGGCGCCGGGACGUUGGGUCCCCGGGUCUCCGCGUGGAGUCUUCGCUCAGAACAGGUUCCAUCGAUCUUGGACCAAGAUGAGGAGCCAUUCAGAGUAGCCGCUGCCUCUGGAAAGAUCCCUGGUGUCCUGGGCAGCCCAGCAGGUGAGUCAGGAGGUGGGGGUCGGGGAGCUGGGUUGGGUGUGGUGGGCUAAGUCCCAACUUUGAAACGCGGGAGACUUCAUGGAGGCCAGACCUGAGGUCCCGGUUUUCAUUUUGAAAAUAGGCAGAGAGGCAGGGAGAGGGUGAGGCUGAAGAGCCUCCCGGGAGGGCUUUGAAGGGGUGGGAUGGAUAGGGCAGGGACCAGCCGGUGGGGUGGGGGUUGUGGAUCACAUUCUCUUUUAAAUUGUACUUAUUUUUUGGAAAGUGAUAGAAAAGUUUAAGGUACAGAAAGGUAUAGUGAAGGUAACCCUCCCUCCUGUCCUCACAGCUUCCGGUUCUUGUCCUCCAAGGCAGGCGGUUUCUUGUUGACCCAUGGGGGGGGGUGGUAUUCUGCGUAUGUGUGCGUGCGUGCAUAUAUGUAUAUGUCUAUACGUACGGACGUAUAUGUACAUUUUUUAUUUAACCUAGAUGUUUGCAUAGCAAAACACUACUCUGCAUCUUAUUUUUCCAUCUAACAAUAAAUCCUUAAUAUGGUUUUAUAUGACUUUCAGAAUCUGCUUAUUGGUGAUUUUGGGGGGAUUAUGCUUUGUGCUGGUUAUAGCUUAACCCAGGAAGAACCGAUGUCUUCAUAAUGUUGAAAGCUGGUUUAUCCAAGAACAUCCAGUGUUUUUUUGUUUGUGUCUUCCUUGGAGCCUCUCAGGAGCCUUUUUAAAGAACUCAAAUAGUUCAAAAUGUAGGUAAUUGGGGCGCCUGGGUGGCUCAGCCGUUAAGCGUCUGCCUUCGGCUCAGGUCAUGAUCUCAGGGUCCUGGGAUCGAGCUCCGCGUCGGGCUCCCUGCUCCACGUGAAGCCUGCUUCUCCCUCUCCCACUCCCCCUGCUUGUGUUCCCUCUCUUGCUGUCUCUCUCUGUCAAAUAAAUAAAUAAAAUCUUAAAAAAAAAUGUAGGUGAUUGAUAAAGAUGUGGAGUGAACAGUCUCCCUCCCACCAGAGAGAGGUUUCCAGGGAAGCGGAUGGAGCUUGAGCUUCAGACUCUGUCCAAGGCCCGGGCAGGGGCCUGGGCACAGUGUGCAUGUGGUCUUGGAAAUUUGUACAAAAGCAAGAUAUUCUUUGUUUUUCCAAUUAAGUUUUUUUUUAACUGAGAUAUGAUUGACACACGACAUUGUAUUUCCAGGUGUACAACAUAAUGAUUUGGUAUUUGUGUAUAUUGUAAAAUGAUAAAGAUAUUCUGAUAUCGUUUAUUUUUUUUACAAGAGGGAGGUGGGGAAGUGGCAGAGGAAGAAGGAGGGAGAGAAUCUCAAGCAGACUCCACACCCAGUGCAGAGCCCGAUGUGGGGCUCCCUCUCACGACUCUGAGAUCGUGGCCUGAGCCAAAAUUAAGAGUUAGCCACUUAACAGACUGAGGCACCCAGGCUCCCCUCUGGUGUCUUUUUCUUAAAGAGGGAAAAUAAUCAAACGUGUCAGCAUCAGACCCCUUGAAGUCUGGCUCUAGGUCUGCUCCCUUCCGUCCCCUCAGACCUCAGUUUUCCUCCUUAGAACCAAGGUCACCUUGUUUCUGCUGUGUCUUUUCAGAGAUAUUUUAUGCAUUUACCAUCACUGCAGACAGGUUUAUCCUCCCUGGUUUGUUUUUUUUCUACAUGAAAAGCAGAAUGUUCUAUAUACUGUUCUGCACCUUUUUUUAGCCACUUAACAAUGUAUCUGGGAGGUCAUCCCAUAUCAACAUAGAACCAGUUUCCUCAUUUUUUUUUUUUUUAAGUAGGCUCCACACCCAGCAUGGAGCCCACCACAAAGCUUGAACUCAUGACCCUGAGAUAAAGACCUGAGCUUAGACCAAGACUUAGACACUUAACCCACUGAGCCACCCAGGCACCCCAAGUUUCCUCAUUUUUUUAGGGCUGCUCAGUAGACUACUAUAUGACUACACUAUAAUUUAGUUAACUGUUCCCUGUUUGAUGGGUAUUUUGGUUAUUUCCAAUCUUUUGUUGCCAGUCACCUUGGAGGACUGCAGGAUAAGUGCCUAGGGGUGGCUGGAUCAAAGGACUAGGGGUUUUCAUAGCUAUUGUGGCUUUAAUUGCCCUUCCCAGAGACACUCCCACUAGCGGGCCAGGGGAAUGCCUCACCCCCUCACCACUUAGUGUGAGGAGGUUAAGUUCGGUUUCAUAUGCUUAAGAACCAUUUAUAUUUUCCUUUCUAUGAAUUUCUCUCUGUGUAUUUUUUGCCCCUUUUCCUUUUUUUUAAAAGAUUUUAUUUAUUUAUUCGACAGAGAUAGAGGCAGCCAGUGAAAGAGGGAACACAAGCAGGGGGAGUGGGAGAGGAAGAAGCAGGCUCACAGCAGAGGAACCUGAUGUGGGGCUCGAUCACGCCCUGAGCCGAAGGCAGACGCUUAACCGCUGUGCCACCCAGGCGCCCCUGCCCCUUUUUCUGUUAGGUCAUUGACCUGUUUUUUAUUUCUAGGUGCUUUUCAGUUUUUAGGAAAAUCAGUCCUGUGUCUGGGAUAUGAGAGGCAGAUGUCCUCUGAUUGUCGUUUAUCUCUUGGCUUUGUUUCUGGUGCAUUUUUAUCACGCGAGAAUGUUUGAUUUUUUUUUAUAGUUGAAUAUUUUACUCUUUAUCUCCCUGGGUUUGUAUCAUCCAAAAGG